rnacentral:misc_RNA from 1 species
GGCAUAUCUCCAAUCUGCAGAACUCCCAACAAGCCCAUUGACCAUGACAACAAGAUGCUCAGGCUGCAACUUAGCCCUAGCUGAAGCUGCAUCAAACACAUCUUCACCAUCAUUAACUGACUCAAUUUUAACCUUCUGACCCUUCUUAAGACUAUUUCUGAAACACCCUCUGCUUAAUUUCCUCAGCAAUUCCAUUUCCCCUUUCUCAUCCACCCACAACAGCCUACAAUUAUUGACACCCUUAUUGUCAAAUCUUGAUUUUGACUUUGAAAAAAAACUCAAAACUGAGCCAGAUAACUGUGGGACUGA